rnacentral:rRNA from 1 species
AUUGAACGCUGGCGGCAUGCUUUACACAUGCAAGUCGAACGGCAGCGCGGGCUUCGGCCUGGCGGCGAGUGGCGAACGGGUGAGUAAUGCAUCGGAACGUGCCCAGUAGUUGGGGAUAGCCCGGCGACAGCCGGAUUAAUACCGCAUACGACCUGAGUGUGAAAGCGGGGGACCGAAAGGCCUCGCGCUAUUGGAGCUGCCGAUGUCGGAUUAGCUAGUUGGUGGGGUAAAGGCUUACCAAGGCGACGAUCCGUAGCUGGUCUGAGAGGACGACCUGCCACACUGGGACUGAGACACGGCCCAGACUCCUACGGGAGGCAGCAGUGGGGAAUUUUGGACAAAGGGGGCAACCCUGAUCCAGCCAUGCCGCGUGCGGGAAGAAGGCCUUCGGGUUGUAAAACGCUUUUGUUAGGGAAGAAAACCUCUGGGCUAAUACCCCGGGGGGAUGACGGUACCGGAAGAAUAAGCACCGGCUAACUACGUG